AGAAUCAACGCUGGCGGCGUGCCUAACACAUGCAAGUCGAACGAGAAAGUGGAGCAAUCCAUGAGUAAAGUGGCGACCGGGUGAGUAACACGUGACUAACCUACCUUCGAGUGGGGGAUAACCUAGGGAAACCUGGGCUAAUACCGCAUAACAUCUUUGGAUCGGAAGAACUGGAGAUCAAAGGGCAAUUCGCUUGAAGAGGGGUCGCGGCUGAUUAGCUAGUUGGCGGGGUAAUGGCCGCCAAGGCUUUGAUCGGUA
rnacentral:rRNA from 1 species